rnacentral:siRNA from 1 species
UGUGAAUGCUCUGUAAAAGAUC